rnacentral:rRNA from 1 species
UGGUGCGAUCAUACCAGCACUAAUGCACUGGAUUCCAUCGGAAUUCCAAAGUUAAGCAUGCUUGGACGAUGUAAAAUUGUUUUAU